AGUGAACGCUGGCGGUAGGCCUAACACAUGCAAGUCGAACGGCAGCACAGUAAGAGCUUGCUCUUACGGGUGGCGAGUGGCGGACGGGUGAGGAAUACAUCGGAAUCUACUUUUUCGUGGGGGAUAACGUAGGGAAACUUACGCUAAUACCGCAUACGACCUACGGGUGAAAGCAGGGGAUCUUCGGACCUUGCGUGAUUGAAUGAGCCGAUGUCGGAUUAGCUAGUUGGCGGGGUAAAGGCCCACCAAGGCGACGAUCCGUAGCUGGUCUGAGAGGAUGAUCAGCCACACUGUAACUGAGACACGGUCCAGACUCCUACGGGAGGCAGCAGUGGGGAAUAUUGGACAAUGGGCGCAAGCCUGAUCCAGCCAUACCGCGUGGGUGAAGAAGGCCUUCGGGUUGUAAAGCCCUUUUGUUGGGAAAGAAAAGCAGCAGGUUAAUACCCCGCUGUUCUGACGGUACCCAAGGAAUAAGCACCGGCUAACUUCGUG
rnacentral:rRNA from 1 species